UACUACGUUGAAACACAGGUUUUCGUCCGAUCACCGAAAUUAAGCAACGUUGAGCCUGGUUAAUAGCUGGAUGGGUGACCGCUCGGUAAUAUCAGGUUUUGUA